rnacentral:rRNA from 1 species
GACGAACGCUGGCGGCGUGCUUAACACAUGCAAGUCGAACGAAGAGCGAUGGAAGCUUGCUUCUAUCAAUCUUAGUGGCGAACGGGUGAGUAACGCGUAAUCAACCUGCCCUUCAGAGGGGGACAACAGUUGGAAACGACUGCUAAUACCGCAUACGAUCCAAUCUCGGCAUCGAGACUGGAUGAAAGGUGGCCUCUAUUUAUAAGCUAUCACUGAAGGAGGGGAUUGCAUCUGAUUAGCUAGUUGGAGGGGUAAAGGCCCACCAAGGCGAUGAUCAGUAGCCGGUCUGAGAGGAUGAACGGCCACAUUGGGACUGAGACACGGCCCAGACUCCUACGGGAGGCAGCAGUGGGGAAUCUUCCGCAAUGGACGAAAGUCUGACGGAGCAACGCCGCGUGAGUGAUGACGGCCUUCGGGUUGUAAAGCUCUGUUAAUCGGGACGAAUGGUUCUUGUGCGAAUAGUGCGAGGAUUUGACGGUACCG